UACGUAGGUGGCAAGCGUUGUCCGGAAUUACUGGGUGUAAAGGGAGCGCAGGCGGGAAGCCAAGUCAGCUGUGAAAACUACGGGCUUAACUUGUAGACUGCAGUUGAAACUGGUUUUCUUGAGUGAAGUAGAGGUUGGCGGAAUUCCGAGUGUAGCGGUGAAAUGCGUAGAUAUUCGGAGGAACACCGGUGGCGAAGGCGGCCAACUGGGCUUUAACUGACGCUGAGGCUCGAAAGUGUGGGGAGCAGACAGG
rnacentral:rRNA from 1 species